rnacentral:rRNA from 1 species
UACAGAGGCCUCGAGCGUUAGGCGGAAUCACUGGGCUUAAAGCGUGUGUAGGCGGACUUCUAAGUACCUUGUGAAAUCCCACGGCUCACCCGUGGAACUGCUCGGUAUACUGGUUGUCUUGAGCCUUCUAGGGGCGAGUGGAACAAAUGGUGGAGCGGUGAAAUGCGUAGAUAUCGGGAGGAACACCAGUGGCGAAGGCGGCUUCCUGGCCUGUUCUUGACGCUGAGGCGCGAAAGCUAGGGGAGCAAACGGG